CACCGACAAGAGCAAACUACUCGAAAGCGUAGGGCGCAAAGUCACCGACCUGAAGACGGUAGCGGGACUGCCGAA
rnacentral:ncRNA from 1 species